CUUAUAUAUUUAUUAAAAAAGAAAAAAAAAAAAUCUACAUUUUAUAUUUGUGACAAGAUGCAUGAGCAUUGCUGAGCAAGAAGCAACUGCCAGAACCCACAAAUCUCUGUGUUAAUUUUACAUCCACCAAGCAGGGGUGAUAUAUUUUAUAAGUGUGCAUUAACAAGAUGGUCAUCAGGGACUGCUCACUCGGAUUAUAAAAUAGCCACAAAGUCACUGCUGCUUUUUUUUUUUUUUUUAAUUCACUUUUAAUGUGUGUAAACUAUUGUCUUGAAAGGUCCCUGAAUACAGAGCAAGGAUGGAGUAGGGAAAAGCAAGAAAUCCAUAGGAAGCUGCUGACAGAGCCAUUGUAAAUACCCAUCCCACACCCAGUUACUGGUUAACUGGGACAGGAUGGACUCAGCCUGAUGCCAAAUCCCAGAACCUGCCCUAUCUGUUGAAGGAUGUUUGUCUUGCCACAGAUUCACUCACAGCUCUGGGAGCACAGCACUCCUCGCUGUGACUUGGUCAGGUUCCUUGGCACACUGUCACGGUCUGGAGGUGUGGGGAGGUGUGGGCAGCUGCUCUGGAGCACCAAACCCCCCUCAUGCAGUUCCUUGAAGCUGAAAGAGAGGAGAACAAAAGACCUGUUAUUACUGUCCCAUCUUACAGAAGAUGCAGGGAGGUGUUGGGCCCUCCACUCCCAAGAAAUAGCCUGUUUGAUGGGAAGUGAGAAGCAGGAGGCUGAUCUGGGGACAGAGCACUGCCUGGCCACAGGAAACAGGAGCCAAAGAGCCCUGGCAUUUUUUUCCACACAAAAGAGGUAAAUAGCUCCGACUUCUUCCUGUUUAACUUGCGCACUCAAAUUCGAAAGAUGCUUUUCUGGAUUUCACAUUCUAAUUCUUAGUCUGAAAUAAAGGCUAAAUGCCUUUCA
rnacentral:lncRNA from 1 species